CUAAUACAUGCAAGUCGAGCGCAGGAAGCAGACUGAUCUCCUUCGGGAGUGAUGUUUGUGGAAUGAGCGGCGGAUGGGUGAGUAACACGUGGGCAACCUGCCCUGUAGAUUGGGAUAACUCCGGGAAACCGGGGCUAAUACCGAAUAUGUCUUCUAGACGCAUGUCUGGAAGCUAAAAGAUGGUUCUGCUAUCACUACAGGAUGGGCCCGCGGCGCAUUAGUUAGUUGGUGAGGUAAUGGCUCACCAAGGCGACGAUGCGUAGCCGACCUGAGAGGGUGAUCGGCCACACUGGGACUGAGACACGGCCCAGACUCCUACGGGAGGCAGCAGUAGGGAAUCUUCCGCAAUGGACGAAAGUCUGACGGAGCAACGCCGCGUGAGUGAUGAAGGUCUUCGGAUCGUAAAACUCUGUUGUUAGGGAAGAACAAGUAUAAGGCGAAUAACCUUAUACCUUGACGGUACCUAACCAGAAAGCCCCGGCUAACUACGUGCCAGCAGCCGCGGUAAUACGUAGGGGGCGAGCGUUGUCCGGAAUUAUUGGGCGUAAAGGGUGCGUAGGCGGUCUUCUAAGUCUGAUGUGAAAGCCCCCGGCUUAACCGUGGAGGGUCAUUGGAAACUGGGAGACUUGAGUGCAGAAGAGGAGAGUGGAAUUCCAUGUGUAGCGGUGAAAUGUGUAGAGAUAUGGAGGAACACCAGUGGCGAAGGCGA
rnacentral:rRNA from 1 species